GGUGAACGCUGGCGGUAGGCCUAACACAUGCAAGUCGAACGGCAGCACAGUAAGAGCUUGCUCUUACGGGUGGCGAGUGGCGGACGGGUGAGGAAUACAUCGGAAUCUACUUUUUCGUGGGGGAUAACGUAGUGAAACUUACGCUAAUACCGCAUACGACCUACGGGUGAAAGCAGGGGAUCUUCGGACCUUGCGCGAUUGAAUGAGCCGAUGUCGGAUUAGCUAGUUGGCGGGGUAAAGGCCCACCAAGGCGACGAUCCGUAGCUGGUCUGAGAGGAUGAUCAGCCACACUGGAACUGAGACACGGUCCAGACUCCUACGGGAGGCAGCAGUGGGGAAUAUUGGACAAUGGGCGCAAGCCUGAUCCAGCCAUACCGCGUGGGUGAAGAAGGCCUUCGGGUUGUAAAGCCCUUUUGUUGGGAAAGAAAAGCAGCAGGUUAAUACCCCGCUGUUCUGACGGUACCCAAAGAAUAAGCACCGGCUAACUUCGUG
rnacentral:rRNA from 1 species